rnacentral:rRNA from 1 species
GACGAACGCUGGCGGCCUGCUUAACACAUGCAAGUCGAACGGAAAGGCCCUUCGGGGUACUCGAGUGGCGAACGGGUGAGUAACACGUGGGUGAUCUGCCCUGCACUUUGGGAUAAGCCUGGGAAACUGGGUCUAAUACCGAAUAGGACCACGCGCUUCAUGGUGUGUGGUGGAAAGCUUUUGCGGUGUGGGAUGGGCCCGCGGCCUAUCAGCUUGUUGGUGGGGUAAUGGCCUACCAAGGCGACGACGGGUAGCCGGCCUGAGAGGGUGACCGGCCACACUGGGACUGAGAUACGGCCCAGACUCCUACGGGAGGCAGCAGUGGGGAAUAUUGCACAAUGGGCGCAAGCCUGAUGCAGCGACGCCGCGUGAGGGAUGACGGCCUUCGGGUUGUAAACCUCUUUCAAUAGGGACGAAGCGCAAGUGACGGUACCUAUAGAAGAAGCACCGGCCAACUACGUGCCAGCAGCCGCGGUAAUACGUAGGGUGCGAGCGUUGUCCGGGAUUACUGGGCGUAAAGAGCUCGUAGGUGGUUUGUCGCGUUGUUCGUGAAAACUCACAGCUUAACUGUGGGCGUGCGGGCGAUACGGGCAGACUAGAGUACUGCAGGGGAGACUGGAAUUCCUGGUGUAGCGGUGGAAUGCGCAGAUAUCAGGAGGAACACCGGUGGCGAAGGCGGGUCUCUGGGCAGUAACUGACGCUGAGGAGCGAAAGCGUGGGGAGCGAACAGGAUUAGAUACCCUGGUAGUCCACGCCGUAAACGGUGGGUACUAGGUGUGGGUUCCUUCCUUGGGAUCCGUGCCGUAGCUAACGCAUUAAGUACCCCGCCUGGGGAGUACGGCCGCAAGGCUAAAACUCAAAGGAAUUGACGGGGGCCCGCACAAGCGGCGGAGCAUGUGGAUUAAUUCGAUGCAACGCGAAGAACCUUACCUGGGUUUGACAUGCACAGGACGCCGGCAGAGAUGUCGGUUCCCUUGUGGCCUGUGUGCAGGUGGUGCAUGGCUGUCGUCAGCUCGUGUCGUGAGAUGUUGGGUUAAGUCCCGCAACGAGCGCAACCCUUGUCCUAUGUUGCCAGCGGGUUAUGCCGGGGACUCGUAGGAGACUGCCGGGGUCAACUCGGAGGAAGGUGGGGAUGACGUCAAGUCAUCAUGCCCCUUAUGUCCAGGGCUUCACACAUGCUACAAUGGCCGGUACAAAGGGCUGCGAUGCCGUGAGGUGGAGCGAAUCCUUUCAAAGCCGGUCUCAGUUCGGAUCGGGGUCUGCAACUCGACCCCGUGAAGUCGGAGUCGCUAGUAAUCGCAGAUCAGCAACGCUGCGGUGAAUACGUUCCCGGGCCU